AUACGGAGGGUGCAAGCGUUAUUCGGAAUCACUGGGCGUAAAGCGCGCGCAGGCGGCUAUUUAAGUUGGAUGUGAAAGCCUACGGCUCAACCGUAGAACUGCAUCCAAAACUAUUUAGCUAGAGUGUGGGAGAGGAAGAUGGAAUUAGUUGUGUAGGGGUAAAAUCCGUAGAGAUAACUAGGAAUACCAAAAGCGAAGGCAAUCUUCUGGAACACUACUGACGCUGAGGCGCGAAAGCGUGGGGAGCAAACAGGAUUAGAAACCCCUGUAGUCC
rnacentral:rRNA from 1 species